ACAGACAGACAGACACACAGUAUGAUGCUAGUUCUCGUAGCUACAGUCUCACUUCUCUGCCUCUCCGGUGGAGUCUCCUGUGCGUCCCUCGUGGUCCAACAAUCUCCCAGUCAACUCCACAAGAGGCCAGGAGACCCCAUGAAGAUCACCUGUAGUCAUCAUGACAGCAGAUACGAUAAGAUCUACUGGUACCACCAGACAGAUGGACAGAAGCUCCGGAUGCUUGGAUAUCUGUCCUUUAAAGAACCAUUAGAUGUGGAUGGGAAAUUUACAAUGUCUGGAGACGCUGAGAACGAGGGUUUUCUGGAGUCGUCCGCACUUGAGGUUGAAGAUACUGGGUUCUAUUAUUGUGCUGUGAGUAAAGCACAGUGA